rnacentral:rRNA from 1 species
CCUACGGGAGGCAGCAGUGAGGAAUAUUGGUCAAUGGACGAGAGUCUGAACCAGCCAAGUAGCGUGAAGGAUGAAUGCCCUAUGGGUUGUAAACUUCUUUUAUAUGGGAAUAAAAUGUUCCACGUGUGGGAUUUUGUAUGGACCAUAUGAAUAAGGAUCGGCUAACUCCAUGCCAGCAGCCGCGGUAAUACGGAGGAUCCGAGCGUUAUCCGGAUUUAUUGGGUUUAAAGGGAGCGUAGGUGGAUUGUUAAGUCAGUUGUGAAAGUUUGCGGCUCAACCGUAAAAUUGCAGUUGAAACUGGCAGUCUAGAGUACAGUAGAGGUGGGUGGAAUUCGUGGUGUAGCGGUGAAAUGCUUAGAGAUCACGAAGAACACCGAUUGCGAAGGCGGCUCACUGGACUGCAACUGACACUGAGGCGCGAAAGCGUGGGUAUCAAACAGGAUUAGAUACCCCAGUAGUC